UGGGGAAUAUUGCACAAUGUGCGCAAGCCUGAUGCAGCCAUGCCGCGUGUGUGAAGAAGGCCUUCGGGUUGUAAAGCACUUUCAGCGGGGAGGAAGGCGAUAAGGUUAAUAACCUUGUCGAUUGACGUUACCGACAGAAGAAGCACCGGCUAACUCCGUGCCAGCAGCCGCGGUAAUACGGAGGGGUGCAAGCGUUAAUCGGAAUUACUGGGCGUAAAGCGCACGCAGGCGGUUGAUUGAGUCAGAUGUGAAAUCCCCGGGCUUAACCCGGGAAUUGCAUCUGAUACUGGUCAGCUAGAGUCUUGUAGAGGGGGGUAGAAUUCCAUGUGUAGCGGUGAAAUGCGUAGAGAUGUGGAGGAAUACCGGUGGCGAAGGCGGCCCCCUGGACAAAGACUGACGCUCAGGUGCGAAAGCGUGGGGAGCAAACAGG
rnacentral:rRNA from 1 species